UGACAAUAAGGCUAAAUCAUUGAAAAUAAGGAAUUUUCAUCAAACCUUAUCACUUUGCACGACCAUUAUUCUGAAAAACAGAGAGAAAAGAAAACCAAAAACUAUUUCUUGGCUGGUUUGAAGAAAUUCUAAGGAGAUCCAAGUGAAAGCAAAGCCAAAGAAGUAGAUUAAGCUUAGUUCUAGCCUUUUUAUGAUAUUUCUUGGGGUUUCCAAGUGGUUUGAGGUUUAGAAAAGCUUGAAGAGAUUGUUUUCGCCGAAAAGUUGCUCGGUAAGUGAAAUUUUGUGUUUUAUGAGGUUUUUGGGGUUCUUGGAGUACAAGAAGAUUUUUGGUUAUUUGAUUGAGUUUAUAAGAGAGUAUAUAUGUUUAUAAAUGUUUGAAUAUAUGUGGAGACUCAUUUAAUUUGGGUGAUGAUCUAGGAGAUAAGAAUUUUAUCAAAAUCGGUAUAUGAUAACAUUAUGAUGAAUCAUGUUGGUAUUUGGGAUAUAUGGUUAUGGCAGGUUAAUUGAUGUUGAUUAUUGGUGUAUAUUGAUAUUUGAGGAUAGCUAAAAUUAAGGGGAAACUCUGUCAAAAUUUCCCCAAAUGUCUAAGAUAAAUCUAAUGCUCGAUCUAGGUGGUUUAAGGCAUUUUAGGCAUGUUUUGGGUAUGAAAUUUGAUAUGAAGUCUUAUGGGUAUUUUUUUAAAUGAGAGUUCAAUGUAUUACUGCCAUCAUUAUGAUGAGAAAUCCAUGCUAUUGUCAGGAUAAGCACAUCAAUACCUAAGACAUCACUUGUUACACGGUGAAAUAUAUUGUGGACAAAAGGUAAGUAAAGUACUCAACUGCAACACAAGAAUUAUGUGUUAUGUGAAAGUAUGCAUUAUAUGAAUAUUUUGUGAGUAAGUGGUAUUAACAUACAGUGACACUUCAUCAUAAAUUUGUAUGCAUGGCAUAAUAGUGAUAUGGUAAAUUAUUAUAUGAUAUAAGACCAUGCAUGAUAUUAUGAUGAUUAAUUAUAUAAUGCCUUUGCAAGUUUUGUGCAACAUAAAAGAAAGUUGUAAUAAGAAGUUUAAGUUCAGUGCCACUGUUUUGAAAAGGCAAAUGAAAGUGUUAAUAAGUGUAAACGGAUGCCUAUAGUAGGCUUAUAGUGGCUGCCCAAUAAUUUGGGCUAGGUUUAUUGAACCAAUUAUAUUGUUUGCCAUAUUUCCGUUUUUAUUCUCCUCCAUAUGAGUUAUUGUUAUAUGUAUUGACACCACAGUGUGUGGCCGCCUUAACUCUUGAGCCUGACGGGGCAACGAUGGAAUAAGGUUUUUAAUGUGCCCUACUGUGGUGAAGGCUAGCCGGAGGAGAACCCAUGGGAUUUUGUAUUAUAUGUGUAACAAGCCCUGCAGGCAUUGACCAAUUCAAACAGUGUGCACAAUAUUAAGGGGCCCAAAAUUUAAAAAAAAAGAAGUUGUAUAUGUCCAUUGAUAUUGGGUAAUCAUUAGCAUUGCAUGCAUUACUUUGCUUACUGAGCUUUAGGCUCACAGUUGUCUUGUGUUGCAGGUAGAGAAAGAAAUAUGUGAAUGAUAUGAGGAGAACUGAAGCAUGGUCCUGACCCUGAUUUGUACAUAUGAACACAUCGACCUUUUUGUGGGUUAUUUCAGUUAUCAGUGAGAUGUUUGUAAUAAAGUGUGAAGUUAUGUUUUGAAAAUAAAUUGGGUUAUUUAAUACUUAUGUAUAAUAUGUUUGAGACA